rnacentral:tRNA from 1 species
UAGCUCAGUGGUAGAGCAUUUGCUUAGCAUGCACAGGGCCCUGGGUUCAAUUCUCAG